rnacentral:rRNA from 1 species
UACGUAGGUGGCAAGCGUUGUCCGGAUUUAUUGGGUUUAAAGGGUGCGUAGGCGGCCUUGUAAGUCAGUGGUGAAAUACUCCAGCUUAACUGGAGGGGUGCCAAUGAUACUGCAGGGCUUGAGUACAGAUGAGGUAGGCGGAAUUGACGGUGUAGCGGUGAGAUGCAUAGAUAUCGUCAAGAACACCGAUAGCGAAGGCAGCUUACUGGGCUGUAACUGACGCUGAGGCACGAAAGUGUGGGGAUCAAACAGG